GACGAACGCUGGCGGCGUGCUUAACACAUGCAAGUCGAACGGAAAGGCCCUGCUUUCGUGGUGUGCUCGAGUGGCGAACGGGUGAGUAACACGUGAGUAACCUGCCCUUGACUUUGGGAUAACUUCAGGAAACUGGGGCUAAUACCGGAUAGGAGCUCCUGCUGCAGGGUGGGGGUUGGAAAGUUUCGGCGGUUGGGGAUGGACUCGCGGCUUAUCGGCUUGUUGGUGGGGUAGUGGCUUACCAAGGCUUUGACGGGUAGCCGGCCUGAGAGGGUGACCGGCCACAUUGGGACUGAGAUACGGCCCAGACUCCUACGGGAGGCAGCGGUGGGAAGUAUUGCACAGUGGGCGGACGCCUGAUGCGGCAACGCCGCGUGCGGAAUGACGGCCUUCGGGUUGUAAACCGCUUUCGCCUGUGACGAAGCGUGAGUGACGGUAAUGAGUAAAGAAGCACCGGCUAACUACGUG
rnacentral:rRNA from 1 species